rnacentral:rRNA from 1 species
AACGCUAGCUACAGGCUUAACACAUGCAAGUCAGGGGCAGCAGGAUUGUGCUGCACAGAUUGCUGGCGACCGGCGCACGGGUGAGUAACGCGUAUCCAACCUUCCCCAUAGUAGAGGAUAGCCCGGCGAAAGUCGGAUUAAUACUCUAUGUUGUACAACGAGGACAUCUGAAUUGUACCAAAGAUUCAUCGCUAUGGGAUGGGGAUGCGUCUGAUUAGGUAGUCGGCGGGGUAACGGCCCACCGAGCCUACGAUCAGUAGGGGUUCUGAGAGGAAGGUCCCCCACAUUGGUACUGAGACACGGACCAAACUCCUACGGGAGGCAGCAGUGAGGAAUAUUGGUCAAUGGGCGCGAGCCUGAACCAGCCAAGUAGCGUGCAGGAUGACUGCCCUAUGGGUUGUAAACUGCUUUUAUCAGGGAAUAAAGUGAGGCACGUGUGCCUUUUUGUAUGUACCUGAUGAAUAAGGACCGGCUAAUUCCGUGCCAGCCGCUGC